GAUGAACGCUGGCGGCGUGCCUAAUACAUGCAAGUCGAGCGAACAGACGAGGAGCUUGCUCCUCUGACGUUAGCGGCGGACGGGUGAGUAACACGUGGAUAACCUACCUAUAAGACUGGGAUAACUUCGGGAAACCGGAGCUAAUACCGGAUAAUAUAUUGAACCGCAUGGUUCAAUAGUGAAAGACGGUUUUGCUGUCACUUAUAGAUGGAUCCGCGCCGCAUUAGCUAGUUGGUAAGGUAACGGCUUACCAAGGCAACGAUGCGUAGCCGACCUGAGAGGGGGAGGGGCCACAGGGGACGGGAGACAGGCUCAGGACCCCUGGGGGGGGCAGAAGGAGGAAAUCUCGGGGAAGGGGCGAAGUUGGGACGAAGAACGCCGGGGGGAGGGAGAAAGGUCUCGGGUGCGAAAAACUUUGUUAUGGGGGAAAAAAAAUUGGGUAAGAACCAAUGCACUUUUUGACGGUACCUAAUCAGAAAGCCACGGCUAACUACGUG
rnacentral:rRNA from 1 species